CGAAUAAACAUGUUGAAGGAUGACCAAGUUCCAGCUUUCUGCUGAAGCAUUAACCACGGUAACCCAGGACGCUACAACUGUUCUAGUUGAAUGAGCCCAUAAUCCUUCAGGUACUGUAAUCUGUAGACAUAUGAAAUAGCCAUUAUAAUCCAUCUUCUCAAAGUCAGUGCGAUGCCUCUUUACCUUUAUGGUGUCUAAUUGGUAAAGCAAACAAUCUAGAACAUUUAUGAAAAGAUUAAGUUAGUCAAUAUAGCAUGGACCACAUCCAAGUUGUGCCAAACCUCUUCAUUUGGUGAGGAGUUAAAGUUAUGUCCUGAGUCAGAUGAAAUUUGGAAACCACUUUCGAUACAAACAAGGUGUAAAAAUAUUUGCCAUAUACAUUAUG